rnacentral:tRNA from 1 species
GCCCAGGUGGCGGAACUGGUAGACGCGCUACGUUCAGGGCGUAGUGGGAGCAAUCCCGUGGAGGUUCAAGUCCUCUCUUGGGCACCA